CAUGUGAUAAAGAUUCUGGCUAAUGCCGCAAUAUGUCAUGUCACAUGUUACACAAAAAUAUGACAUUAUAUUAGUGCUUAUUUAAUUUCAACGUAAACCUCGACAUGUCUCUGCACAUUAUGUUACAUGAAUUAAUAAUUUGCUGUCAAUGUCAGCACUGGUCAAAAUUUUGGGAAUCGCCAAUGGAUUCCAUUAUAUUAUGUGAAGGCUCUAAUUUGUUUUUCUUAAUCUUCCCAAUAUCCAAUGAAGGUUGGGACGAUUUGUUUAUUUAUUAAAAAAUGGUUGCCUAUCAAUGUUUUUUGUAUGUGAAGGCUCCAGCUGUUUUUGUCAGUGUCAGUACUGGUCAAUUUGGGAAUCGUCAAUUGAUUCCAAUUGAUGUUGGGAAUCGUCAAUUGAUUCCAAUAUGAUUAUGGGAAUCGUCAAUUGAUUCCAUCAUAUUAUGUGUAGGCUACCGUUUGUUUUUCUUAAUCGCCCAAUAUCUGAUGAAGGUUGGGACGAUCUGUUUCUUUAUUUCAAAAAAGGAUUUUGUUUUUCUUAAUCUUCCCAAUAUGUAAUGAAGGUUGGGAGGAUCUGUUUAUUCAUUUAUAAGUGGUUUGCCUAUCAAUGUCUUUUUGCAUGUGACUAUGUGAAGGCUCCAGUUUGUUUUUCUUAAUCUUCCAUGUAUCUAAUGAAGGUUGGAAGAUCUUUUUAUUUAUUUGUAAAAAGAAUGGGUUGCCUAUCACUUUUAUGUCACAAUUGUUGAAUUUUAUGAUGACCAUGAUGAACUGACCUAUUUUAAGCUGAGCCGACACUUGUAUAUGAUAAUAGAUUGGCAACAUGCAUUGUGAAGAGUUCAAUAACAAAUGAUAAAGAUGAAAAAUAAUAAAAUGCCACCAAAAAGAUGAAAAUGUGAUGGGUCCGAAGCCUCCCAAAAAGAUGAAGUUACGCAGUCAACCGGCUCAAUUGCUCUCUGCGGAUUCAGUUUGGGCAAUUCGGAUUCCAAUUGAUCAUCGACUCAAGUGGCUGCUCCAAAAAAUCAGCUGGCAGCAGCAAAUCUUAGACAACAGCAACAGCCUUGACUCCCAGCAAUGCUUCUACAAACAAGAUCACUUCAAAGGAUGCACUACUGCACCGCAGACUUCUAUUACAUCUUCUACUGAUUUGAAUAGUUCCUAUUUGAAUGUACUGCCAUUGACUAUUGAAAGAGAGGAGUCAGCAUAUGGUUGUUUUUCUUCAGAAUUUAAAUAGGAUCUGAUAAACUUUUUACAUCCAUUUCAGUGAUUAAACGUAUAAAUCAAUUGCAAACUAAAUGUUUCCCCUUAUACAUGUACUGCCAUUGACUAUCGAAAGAGAGAAGUCAGCAUAUGGUUGUUUUGGUUUUUUUCCAGAAUUUAAUUAGAAUCUGAUAAACUUUUUACAUCCAUUUCAGUAAUUAAACGUAUAAAUCAGGUCUAUUAGGCCAGCUAAUGGUUGCUGUGAUAAAUUGUAAAAUUUUAAAGCAUCCUAUCAAAAUGAAACAACAAAUUUAAACCUUCCGAGGUCAGCAUUUAGCUGCUUAAAUAAAAUAGUACUUUGGUCAGUGAUCUUGCAAAGUGUUCAUUUUGAAAAUUAAGUGCUAGAUAGAUGCACAUUUUACUCUUCAUAUUGGCCUUAAAUUUGCGAGCUAAUAUACUUGAGGACAGCACCCAGUUGCUCAUAAAAUUUAUGUAUUGUAGUUGGAAUUCAGCUUUAAGUUUGGUCUUGAGAAUUGUGUAUCAGGUCAGCAUAUGUCUGUUUACAAAAUUGUAUCAUGUCAUGAGCUUAGAAGUUCAAAAAUUUGUGUAUCAGGUCAGCGAACAGCUGCUUAUAAAAAUUGUAUGUUAGUUGGAGCUCAGCAGGAUUUUGUUCUGAAUUUUGUGCAUGAGUUCAGCAUAUGGAUGUUCAUAAAAUAUAUAUUGUAAAAAUGAGCUCAUGUUGUUUAUGAGGUAGCAUAUGGUCUCUUUUUUAGUCUCGUUAACCUUAUGUUAUUCACAGGUUUAGUAACCUUUGUCCUUUAUAUUUUGUAACUUAUUCAGAUAUAACUUUGUGCUUAUGUGGGUUUUUAAUGUUUAUUCAUGUACACAAUGUUAUUAUCUGUUAAAGAACACAUGUUUGCUACAAUUAAUAUUGAGCAGCAUAUAAUUUAUGAAAUGCCUUUCCUUGGGUGGCGCUGCAUGCUUCAUGCAAGCAUUUUGCAUGCUGUGUGGCCUCUUUGUUUACGCCACCUUCUUGUUACACAAACUUGGUAAUCAUUAUAUAACAAUAGCUGGGAUAAGCACUAAGUCGCAAUAUAUCAUAUCUAAGUUGAAACUAAUCAUUAUUUGGCCUUAUCCCAGCUAUAAUUUACAUGAUUGUAUGUAAUAUUGUAUAUUUAUGUGUUUUUGUUCACUUUCGUCAUUUAUCUGGUCAAUAAAUGACAUUUUCACUCAA